AACACAUGCAAGUCAAGGGGAAAGGUUGUCUUCGGACGGCCGAGUAUACUGGCGAACGGGUGAGUAACGCGUAGGUAACUUGCCUAUCAGUCUGGGAUAACACUGCUAACGCGGUGCUAAUACCGGGUAUACUGCAUAGCUCGCAUGUUUUUUGCAGGAAAGCGGGCCUCUGGAACAAGCUCGUGCUGAUAGAUAGACCUGCGUCCCAUUAGUUAGUUGGUAGGGUAACGGCCUACCAAGGCAGCGAUGGGUAGCCGGCCUGAGAGGGUGACCGGCCACACUGGGACUGAGAUACGGCCCAGACUCCUACGGGAGGCAGCAGUGAGGAAUAUUGCGCAAUGGACGAAAGUCUGACGCAGCAACGCCGCGUGAGGGAUGAAGCUUUUCGGAGUGUAAACCUCUGUUAGGAGGGAAGAACGUCUAUUAUUCGAACAGGGUGAUAGAGUGACGGUACCUCCAGAGAAAGCCCCGGCUAACUCCGUGCCAGCAGCCGCGGUAAUACGGGGGGGGCGAACGUUGUCCGGAAUUAUUGGGCGUAAAGGGCGCGUAGGCGGGAAGGUCAGUCAGAGGUGAAAGCUUGUGGCUUAACUGCAAGUUUGCCUUUGAUACUUGCCAUUCUUGAGUUCGGAAGAGGGAAGUGGAAUUCCUGGUUGUAGCGGUGAAAUGCGUAGAUAUCAGGAAGAACACCGGUGGCGAAGGCGGGUUUCUUGGUCCGAUACUGACGCUGAUGCGCGAAAGCGUGGGGAGCAAACCGGAUUAGAUACCCUGGUAG
rnacentral:rRNA from 1 species